GCACUGAAGGUAAGAGUUGCAGGAAACUGAACUCUUUCUUUGUCACUUUGUUAGUAACAGUUUCAGGAGUUCAGUUUCCUCCAACAUCUUAUCUUCGGCGC
rfam:Oryza glaberrima chromosome 8 Oglab08_0003_16, whole genome shotgun sequence.